rnacentral:rRNA from 1 species
UCUAGAGGAAAUAAGGUAAUACUAUUCAAGGAAACCUUUAUUAUCUGGCGGCCUUUUUUCUUAUUAGAGGAACUCGUCUCAUAAUCGUCACUCCUCGUUAUUUCUUACUUUUUUUUAUCUCUUAUACCGCCGUCUCAAGAUUUAUCUCCUUUUUUCUUAAAAAAAUCUUUUUAUAAAGUCAGGUAAAGGUGAGGAUUAUAAAAGAGAGAAGAUAAGUUACUUAUAAAAACUAUUUUUGAACAUAUACUCAAAACUAUAUUUGAAAGAGGAUUUAAUAGUAAUUUUUUAUUAUUAUUCUAUAAUGAAAUAGUAAAAUAGGUGC